ACGGGAGGCAGCAGUGAGGAAUAUUGGUCAAUGGACGGAAGUCUGAACCAGCCAUGCCGCGUGAAGGAAUAAGGCCCUAUGGGUCGUAAACUUCUUUUGACGGGGAGCAAUAAGACGUACGUGUACGUCGAUGAGAGUACUCGUCGAAUAAGCAUCGGCUAACUCCGUGCCAGCAGCCGCGGUAAUACGGAGGAUGCAAGCGUUAUCCGGAUUUAUUGGGUUUAAAGGGUGCGUAGGCUGUGCUGCAAGUCAGAGGUGAAAUACCUGAGCUCAACUCAGGAACUGCCUUUGAUACUGUAGUGCUGGAAUACUGUUGCCGUGGGAGGAAUGAGUAGUGUAGCGGUGAAAUGCAUAGAUAUUACUCAGAACACCGAUUGCGAAGGCAUCUCACGAAGCAGUCAUUGACGCUGAGGCACGAAAGCGUGGGGAUCAAACAGGAUUAGAUACCCUGGUA
rnacentral:rRNA from 1 species